GUGGGGAAUAUUGGACAAUGGGGGGAACCCUGAUCCAGCCAUGCCGCGUGCAGGAUGAAGGCCCUCGGGUUGUAAACUGCUUUUGUACGAAACGAAAAGCCUGGGGCUAAUAUCCCCGGGUCAUGACGGUACCGUAAGAAUAAGCACCGGCUAACUACGUGCCAGCAGCCGCGGUAAUACGUAGGGUGCAAGCGUUAAUCGGAAUUACUGGGCGUAAAGCGUGCGCAGGCGGUUUUGUAAGACAGUGGUGAAAUCCCCGGGCUCAACCUGGGAACUGCCAUUGUGACUGCAAGGCUAGAGUGCGGCAGAGGGGGAUGGAAUUCCGCGUGUAGCAGUGAAAUGCGUAGAUAUGCGGAGGAACACCGAUGGCGAAGGCAAUCCCCUGGGCCUGCACUGACGCUCAUGCACGAAAGCGUGGGGAGCAAACAGGAUUAGAUACCCCAGUAGUCC
rnacentral:rRNA from 1 species